GGCCUAUUAGUAUAAUGGUAGUACAUGCGGUUCGGAUCCGCAAAAUUCCGGUUCGAUUCCGGCAUGGGCUC
rnacentral:tRNA from 1 species